UACAGAGGUGGCAAGCGUUGUUCGGAAUUACUGGGCGUAAAGGGCGCGUAGGUGGCCAUCUAAGUCAGACGUGAAAUCCCACGGCUUAACCUGGGAACUGCGUCUGAUACUGGACGGCUAGAGUAUGGGAGAGGGAUGUAGAAUUCCAGGUGUAGCGGUGAAAUGCGUAGAGAUGUGGAGGAACACCGAUGGCGAAGGCAGCCCUCUGGGCUAUCACUGACGCUCAGGCACGAAAGCGUGGGGAGCAAACAGG
rnacentral:rRNA from 1 species